GGAGCAGGGCCCCGGGGGGGGAGGGAGGGGGUUGUUUCCUGCAAAGGUUUUAGCCGACGUCCCUCCGCCCGCCGCUGGCCCCGUCCCCUGCGGCUGCUGUCCUGCCGCCGCGCAGUUUACGGCGCUGCACUGGGCCGCCAAGCACGGCCGCGAGGACAUGGCCGCGCUGCUCCUGGCCGCCGGGGCCGACAUCAACACCAGAGCUGUGAGUGGGGUGCGGGGGCCCGGGGGGGCCCUGCCGGGGGGCGGCGAGUGGCCCUGGUGCUAACUGGUUUUCUCCUCGCCCUGCGCCCGGAUCCAGCACGGCGUGAGUACGAACGGACGGACAGACGGACGCGCUGCCGCGCUGUGGAUGCAGCACCGGCCCAGGACGGGGGGGCCCUGGGAAGGGGAUGGGGCGUCCCUGGGAUGAUGGCUUUGGAGAUGGGGCACCGUUGGGAUGAGGGUUUCAGGGAUGGGGUGUCCCUGGGAUGGUGGUUUCGGGGGUGGAGCAUCUCUGGGAUGAUGAUUUGGGGGAUGGAGCAUCCCUGGGACGAUGGUUUUGGGAAUGGGGUGUCUCCAGGACUAUGGUUUGGAGGAUGGGGCAUCCCUGGGAUGAUGGUUUUGGGGGUGGGCUUUCUCCAGGAUGAUGGUUUUGGGGAUGGAGCAUCCCUGGGACGAGGGGCUGGGGAGCGUUUGCAUGUGGGGCCAUCCGCAUCCCCCGGGCAGGGGAAGGUGCUGGGGGCCACGGCCCGGCCCUGUCCCCUCCUGAUGCCCGGUGCCCCCAGGGCUACACCCCGCUGCACAUCGCAGCGCUCCACGGGCACCACCGGAUCGUGGAGCUGCUCGUCGAGCGCUUCGGGGCCAAGCAGAACCUGCGGGACUACAGCGGGCGCCUGCCCGGGCACUACCUGAGCGCCGCGACCGCGCAGGACGGGGCCGCCGAGACCCCCCAGGUGCCGGCGGCGCGCGGCAGGAGCCGGCGUCUGGCCUGCCUGCUGCUGCCCAGGGCGGGCGGCCCGGCUCGGCAGCGCUGGGGCUCGGCCGAGGACCUCGCCGGCCCCGAGGAGGAGCGGGCGCCGGCACAGCACCUGGCACCGCCCGCGGCCUGCCGCGCCGUGCGCAAGUUCUCCCGCUGACCCUGGGCUCCGCGGCGGCCCCGGGCGAGGACCGGGCGCCCGGGCAGGGUGUGCAGCCGGGCGCCGUGGGACGGGCGCCGACGGCUCGUGGCACCGCAAUAAAACCCUUGU